rnacentral:rRNA from 1 species
GUCUGUGUGAAGUUACAUGGAGUCUGACCUGCCCGUUGAAAAAUUUGAAAGGCCGCGGUAUAUUAACUGUGCAAAGGUAGCAUAAUCAUUAGUUUUUUAAUUGAAGGCUUGUAUGAAGGGUUGGACAAAGAAAAGUCUGUCUUUGGGUUUAGGUUUGAAUUUAACUUUUAAGUGAAAAGGCUUAAGUGUGUUUGGGGGACGAUAAGACCCUAUAAAUCUUUAUAAAAGUCUAUUUUAACUGAGAUUUAAUAAGGUAGUGAUAUUCAGAAAUGUAGGGUUUAUUUUGUUGGGGCGAUGAGAAUAUAGAUUAAUAACUGUUCUUGUGUAAAAUCAGAGUUAUUUGUGUGUAAGAGGAUCCUUCAUAGAGAUUAAAAGUUUAAGUUACUUUAGGGAUAACAGCGUUAUUUUUUUUGAGAGUUCAUAUCGAAAAAAAAGUUUGCGACCUCGAUGUUGAAUUAAAAUUUCUUUGUGGUGUAGCAGCUAUAAGAGAGAGUCUGUUCGACUUUUAAAAUUUU